rnacentral:lncRNA from 1 species
CCGAGAGACAGAUCCGGGAGGAGAGCGAGGACGACGCAAGAGCAAUUCAUCCUGCCAUUGUAAGUGCUCUCACAUGGCGGGGGAACAAAAGUUUCUACUGGUUGAUUUGGACAUCACCAAGUUGCUUUCUUCAAAAUGCUGAAGUCUACUUUGAUAUCCAUGAGAUAAUUUUGAGUACUGGUGAUCGAACCUAGGGUCUUAUGCCUACCAGAUAAAUGUUCUACCACUGACCCAUAUCCCCAACCCCAUGGAUGAUAAUUCUAAUAGGUAUUUAUUGAACUCUUGCUGUGUGACAAGCACUGUUCAAAACUUCUGUUACAUUUAAAUAAGGUAUUCUUCACAACAAUUCUGCAAAGUAAAUGUCAUCAAACUCAAAGCAAUUACAAAAUUUGUUCACGGUCAUACAGUUAUUGAAUAGCAGUACUGCAUUUCAGCUUCAGGCAGUAUGACUUCAGAUUAAUUUCUCAAAAUCACUAUAUAUGUCAAGUGAAUCAAUCAAUGAUUCACUUAUUUUUCCAUAGAUAAUCCUUAUCUCUCUACUCAUAUUUUCCAGUUUUGAAACAUCAACUGAUUUUGUCAAGUAGAAAAAGCUUUAAGAUGAACACAUUAAAUUUUUGUCAAAUUUAAAUAUAGCUA